ACUCCCUUAGUAUAACCAGUACAGCUGACUUCCAAUCAACUAGGCCCGGCUUAAAUCCGGGAGAGAGUA
rnacentral:tRNA from 1 species